rnacentral:rRNA from 1 species
GCUCGAGUGGCGAACGGGUGAGUAUUACGUGAGUAACCUGCCCUCAACUGUGGGAUAAGCCUGGGAAACUGGGUCUAAUACUGCAUAUUCUUCUUUCACCGCAUGGUGGGGGUUGGAAAGUUUUUUCGGUUGGGGAUGGGCUCGCGGCCUAUCAGCUUGUUGGUGGGGUGAUGGCCUACCAAGGCGGUGACGGGUAGCCGGCCUGAGAGGGUGGUCGGCCACAUUGGGACUGAGAUACGGCCCAGACUCCUACGGGAGGCAGCAGUGGGGGAUAUUGCACAAUGGGCGCAAGCCUGAUGCAGCGACGCCGCGUGAGGGAUGAAGGCUUUCGGGUUGUAAACCUCUUUCGGUACAGAACAAGGCACGUUUUUUGCGUGUGGAGGGUAUGUGCAGAAGAAGCGCCGGCUAACUACGUGCCAGCAGCCGCGGUAAUACGUAGGGCGCGAGCGUUGUCCGGAAUUAUUGGGCGUAAAGGGCUCGUAGGCGGCUUGUUGCGCCUGCUGUGAAAACGCGGGGCUUAACUCCGCGCGUGCAGUGGGUACGGGCAGGCUUGAGUGUGGUAGGGGUGACUGGAAUUCCAGGUGUAGCGGUGGAAUGCGCAGAUAUCUGGAGGAACACCGAUGGCGAAGGCAGGUCACUGGGCCAUUACUGACGCUGAGGAGCGAAAGCGUGGGUAGCGAACAGGAUUAGAUACCCUGGUAGUCCACGCUGUAAACGUUGGGAACUAGGUGUGGGGCCCUUUUCCGGGGUUCUGCGCCGUAGCUAACGCAUUAAGUUCCCCGCCUGGGGAGUACGGCCGCAAGGCUAAAACUCAAAGGAAUUGACGGGGGCCCGCACAAGCGGCGGAGCAUGCGGAUUAAUUCGAUGCAACGCGAAGAACCUUACCAAGGCUUGACAUACACCGGGAGCAUGCAGAGAUGUGUGUGCCUUUUUGGCUGGUGUACAGGUGGUGCAUGGUUGUCGUCAGCUCGUGUCGUGAGAUGUUGGGUUAAGUCCCGCAACGAGCGCAACCCUUGUCUCGUGUUGCCAGCGCGUUAUGGUGGGGACUCACGAGAGACUGCCGGGGUUAACUCGGAGGAAGGUGGGGAUGACGUCAAAUCAUCAUGCCCCUUAUGUCUUGGGCUUCACGCAUGCUACAAUGGCCGGUACAGUGGGUUGCGAUACUGUGAGGUGGAGCGAAUCUCUGAAAGCCGGUCUCAGUUCGGAUCGGGCUCAUUCA